rnacentral:rRNA from 1 species
AGUAUGGCAGAGGGGGGUAGAAUUCCACGUGUAGCAGUGAAAUGCGUAGAGAUGUGGAGGAAUACCGAUGGCGAAGGCAGCCCCCUGGGCCAAUACUGACGCUCAUGCACGAAAGCGUGGGGAGCAAACAGGAUUAGAUACCCUGGUAGUCCACGCCCUAAACGAUGUCAACUAGUUGUUGGGGAUUCAUUUCCUUAGUAACGUAGCUAACGCGUGAAGUUGACCGCCUGGGGAGUACGGUCGCAAGAUUAAAACUCAAAGGAAUUGACGGGGACCCGCACAAGCGGUGGAUGAUGUGGUUUAAUUCGAUGCAACGCGAAAAACCUUACCUACCCUUGACAUGUCAAGAAUUUCGCAGAGAUGUGGAAGUGCUCGAAAGAGAACUUGAACACAGGUGCUGCAUGGCCGUCGUCAGCUCGUGUCGUGAGAUGUUGGGUUAAGUCCCGCAACGAGCGCAACCCUUGUCAUUAGUUGCUACGAAAGGGCACUCUAAUGAGACUGCCGGUGACAAACCGGAGGAAGGUGGGGAUGACGUCAGGUCCUCAUGGCCCUUAUGGGUAGGGCUACACACGUCAUACAAUGGCCGGUACAGAGGGCUGCCAACCCGCGAGGGGGAGCCAAUCCCAGAAAACCGGUCGUAGUCCGGAUCGCAGUCUGCAACUCGACUGCGUGAAGUCGGAAUCGCUAGUAAUCGCGGAUCAGCUUGCCGCGGUGAAUACGUUCCCGGGUCUUGUANNNACCGCCCGUCACACCAUGGGAGUGGGUUUUACCAGAAGUGGCUAGUCUAACCGCAAGGAGGACGGUCACCACGGUAGGAUUCAUGACUGGGGUGAAGUCGUAACAAGGUAACCA